UGCACAUGCUUUGAUGACACGGGAGCAGUUUCUGACUAAUGCAAAUUGGCCCGUGGACGUGCCAGUCUAUUCUGAGGGGGUGGGAGCUGACGCUGAUGAUGAUGAUGAGGAUGAUGAUGAGGCGACCGGUUCUGAGGCCGGUAGUGAGGAGGAGUCUUGAGCCCUUUGUGGGUUAAGUUUUUGUUUUUGUAUUUCAGUUUUUAUUAUGGCAUUUUUAUUUGUACUUUUGAAUUUUGUAUUUUGACCAUGGGUUGUACUAUUGGGGUGUUUUGUCCCCCACGAACAAAAUUUUAUUUUUCAGUUAAUGAUAUUUAUGUUUGUUGUUAAUUUUGUGUGUUUAAUAAAUUUUUGGUUGAAUGAGUGGCAAACCCUUCUAGAUUGGUUGCUCCUCAAGAAGUACCCAAUGAAGGUGCAUCCGAGCUUGGAUGGCAAUGAUAAGAAUAACAAGUGAAUGAAGCUAAGGUACAUGGUUACCGUCGGCUAGAAUUUUAGAAUGCAUUAGGAACUUUACUCUUUUUGGUAAAUUGAAUAUUGUCUUUUUGCAACAUAAUUGAAUGAAUGUUUCAUCUAGAACUUAAAACCACAAAGUGUGAGGAAACCUCCAUUGUACACUUAAAUGCUGGAUUCUAAUAAGUUUUGUUGAUUCAUUUGAUUCAU
rnacentral:lncRNA from 1 species